GGGCCGCUAGCUCAGCAGGUAGAGCAUCACACUUUUAAUGUGAGGGCCCUGGGUUCGAGCCCCAGGCGGCUCA
rnacentral:tRNA from 1 species